UCGAAAAGAAGAAAAAAGAAAACUGAAUAGUCAGAAUUUUUUUUUCACCCGAAAGACUAUUCUGGCCGACUGACCUACAGUCAGAGGUCAUCUACCCACUAGAACGACCUCUGGGGAAUAGAAGCUGGAUAACCUUGAUGCUCAAAGUGCGAAGGAAUGUGAGUGAAUGGUCCGUUGACCUUGGCCUUGACUGUUACUGUCAAAACAUCCUCGCUGGAUAGUUUCAAGGUUCUCGCCCAUCUCUCGCAAAACUACAUUGGAUUAUCUGUUGUGUUCACCGCGGGAAAUCGAACCUCAGAUUUUAGCGUUCUAAGACCUUAGACUUACUGCUACCCCACCGGGGGACUACUAUUUCCUAACAUCAAUCAAACAACAUACUAUGCAGUACAUGAAAAAAAGCAAAUGUGAAGGUCAAGGCUUGAUGGGAUGCUUUCGUUAAGUUCUACACUUCUGAAAUGAACUUUAAGUGAGACUUGAAUACCGUAUUAUUUCUUGUUCCAAAAAUACUCCAUUCCCUCUUCCACAUAUGCACAGUAACCUAAAAUAUCUUUAUAAAUACAUUCAGUGUGUUUUUUGUGAAGCUGCAUAUCUUGUUAUAAAAAUUUAGUCCUACUUUUGUUAAUCAGUGCGAAGAAAUA